rnacentral:rRNA from 1 species
CAAGUCGAACGGUAACAGGGAGCUUGCUCCGCUGACGAGUGGCGAACGGGUGAGUAAUAUAUCGGAACGUACCCAAGAGUGGGGGAUAACGUUAGCGAAAGUUACGCUAAUACCGCAUACGAUCUAUGGAUGAAAGUGGGGGAUCGCAAGACCUCAUGCUCCUGGAGCGACCGAUAUCUGAUUAGCUAGUUGGUAGGGUAAAGGCCUACCAAGGCGACGAUCAGUAGCUGGUCUGAGAGGACGACCAGCCACACUGGAACUGAGACACGGUCCAGACUCCUACGGGAGGCAGCAGUGGGGAAUUUUGGACAAUGGGCGCAAGCCUGAUCCAGCAAUGCCGCGUGAGUGAAGAAGGCCUUCGGGUUGUAAAGCUCUUUUGUCAGGGAAGAAACGGUAGAGGCUAAUAUCCUUUGCUAAUGACGGUACCUGAAGAAUAAGCACCGGCUAACUACGUGCCAGCAGCCGCGGUAAUACGUAGGGUGCAAGCGUUAAUCGGAAUUACUGGGCGUAAAGCGUGCGCAGGCGGUUUUGUAAGUCUGUCGUGAAAUCCCCGGGCUCAACCUGGGAAUUGCGAUGGAGACUGCAAGGCUAGAAUCUGGCAGAGGGGGGUAGAAUUCCACGUGUAGCAGUGAAAUGCGUAGAGAUGUGGAGGAACACCGAUGGCGAAGGCAGCCCCCUGGGUCAAGAUUGACGCUCAUGCACGAAAGCGUGGGGAGCAAACAGGAUUAGAUACCCUGGUAGUCCACGCCCUAAACGAUGUCUACUAGUUGUCGGGUUUUAAUUAACUUGGUAACGCAGCUAACGCGUGAAGUAGACCGCCUGGGGAGUACGGUCGCAAGA